CGGGUUCUGCCCGGUACGAGCUUACGAUCAUCCCUGAGGCUAUUCAUCAUCCAAGGGGGCUGUCCCUGCCCAGGUCCAGGCCUGAAGCAUAUGGUCCCCACCUGACGUUUUGGGCGUCAGUGGAUAUCACAGCCAACGGCCCAUGGUGGUCCCGCC
rnacentral:sRNA from 1 species